GGUUAAGCAAGUAAGAGCGCACGGUGGAUGCCUAGGCACCAGGAGCCGAUGAAGGACGCGACGAACCGCGAUAGUGCUUCGGGGAGCUGUAAGUAAGCGUUGAUCCGGAGAUU
rnacentral:rRNA from 1 species